GUCCAUAAAAGUGCUGUUUGUUUGUAAAAAAUGCAAAAAACAUCACUUUUACUUAAAAUAUCAUUGUUGUAAUACAAUUUACCAGUUUGAAACACUAAUAUUUGAGUUCAGCGAAGUCUCCCAAGUAAAACAGUACCCCCUAUGUACAGGUUUUAUGGUGUCUUGGAGAGUUACAGGGUCAAAUAUAGUGCUUGCGAAUUAAAUUCUCUGCACUUUCUCCCUGUUGUUGUCAGGCAUGUCAAUCAAAUUUUAAUUAAUCAAAUCACAUAAUUCUCUUA
rnacentral:lncRNA from 1 species